CCUACGGGAGGCAGCAGUGAGGAAUAUUGGUCAAUGGCCGAGAGGCUGAACCAGCCAAGUCGCGUGAGGGAAGAAUGUCCUAUGGAUUGUAAACUUCUUUUGUACGGGAGCAAACUCACACACGCGUGGGUGUCGGAGAGUACCGGACGAAAAAGCAUCGGCUAACUCCGUGCCAGCAGCCGCGGUAAUACGGAGGAUUCGAGCGUUAUCCGGAUUUAUUGGGUUUAAAGGGUGCGUAGGCGGGUUAUCAAGUCAGAGGUAAAAUCGUGGGGCUCAACUCCGUAUAGCCGUUGAUACUGGUGAUCUAGAGAGGACGAGAGGUAUGCGGAAUGUGUGGUGUAGCGGUGAAAGGCAUAGAGAUCACGCAGAACACCGAUUGCGAAGGCAGCAUACCGGGGCCCGACUGACGCUGAAGCACGAAAGCGUGGGUAUCGAACAGGAUUAGAUACCCUGGUAGUC
rnacentral:rRNA from 1 species